UGACAUGGCCAGGUGCCCGAAGCCAGGUACUCUACAUACUACAAUCUACAUAGGGAUAAAUCAUCAGAUCAACUACAAUUUUUCUUCAUUGUACUGUGUAAAUUUGGGGAUAAAUCAUCAGAUUACCAGAGUAGAAAAUUUCAUUAUCAGUUGUUUUAUUUCAUAGAGUCCACUGGAUUUUUUAUUUUUUUUGCAAUGAAUACCCAGUGUCUAGAACCUAGAGCCGCCACUGCUGAACAUUAGGGCUAUGCUACUUUAGAGGGCAUUUUACCUUCCCUCUUAUAGUUGUUUCAUGUGCAAUCACAUGAUACCUGAAACCAGAGAGCACCUUUUCUUCCAAUGCCCAUUUGCCCUUGCGUGUUGGCAAUAUGUCUGCCCA
rnacentral:lncRNA from 1 species